rnacentral:rRNA from 1 species
GAUGAACGCUGGCGGCGUGCCUAAUACAUGCAAGUCGAACGAGUUCUGGUUUAUGAUGGCGGUGCUUGCACCAAUAGAUUAAACAUUUGAACGAGUGGCGGACGGGUGAGUAACACGUGGGUAACCUGCCCUAAAGUGGGGGAUAACAUUUGGAAACAGAUGCUAAUACCGCAUAAACCUCAAAAGCACAUGCUUUUGAGUUGAAAGAUGGCGUAAGCUAUCGCUUUUGGAUGGACCCGCGGCGUAUUAGCUAGUUGGUGAGGUAAAGGCUCACCAAGGCUGUGAUACGUAGCCGACCUGAGAGGGUAAUCGGCCACAUUGGGACUGAGACACGGCCCAAACUCCUACGGGAGGCAGCAGUAGGGAAUCUUCCACAAUGGACGAAAGUCUGAUGGAGCAACGCCGCGUGAGUGAAGAAGGUUUUCGGAUCGUAAAACUCUGUUGUUGGAGAAGAACGUACGUGAGAGUAACUGUUCACGUAGUGACGGUAUCCAACCAGAAAGCCACGGCUAACUACGUGCCAGCCGCCGCCGUAACAC